UUAGCAUGGAAUAAUGAAAUAGGACUAUGGUCUUAUUUUGUUGGUUUUAAAGACCUUAGUAAUGAUUAAAAGGAGCAGUUGGGGGCAUUUGUAUUGCUAUGUUAGAGGUGAAAUUCUUGGAUCAUAGCAAGACAAACUAAUGCGAAAGCAUCUGCCAAGGAUGCUUUCAUUGAUCAAGAACGAAAGUUAGGGGAUCAAAGACGAUCAGAUACCGUCGUAGUCUUAACCAUAAACUAUGCCAACUGGGGAUUGAGUAUAUUGUCACAAAAGACAUACUCAGCACCCUAAGAGAAAUCAAAGUUUUUGGGUUCCGGGGGGAGUAUGGUCGCAAGGCUGAAACUUAAAGGAAUUGACGGAAGGGCACCACCAGGAGUGGAGCCUGCGGCUUAAUUUGACUCAACACGGGAAAACUUACCAGGUCCAGACAUAGUGAGGAUUGACAGACUAAUAGCCCUUUCAUGAUUCUAUGGGUGGUGGUGCAUGGCCGUUCUUAGUUGGUGAAGUGAUUUGUCUGGUUAAUUCCGAUAACGAACGAGACCUUUGUCGUUAAAUAAUAACAUUUUAUGUCAUCUUAAAAGAGUUAACUCUUAGCGAAACUAUGAGCGUUUAGCUCGAGGAAGUGAAAGGCAAUAACAGGUCUGUGAUGCCCUUAGAUGUUCUGGGCUGCACGCGCGCUACACUGACAAAGUCAACGAGUGUAACACCUUGGCCGGAAGGUCUGGGUAAUCUUUUAAACUUUGUCGUGCUGGGGAUAGGGCAUUGCAAUA
rnacentral:rRNA from 1 species